CGUUGUUCGGUAAUUUUAAUUUUGUUGUAAAUAAAAAUGGAAAAGAAUCUUCAGGACAAAACCCUAUUACUUAUCCCCUUCGAAUGUGUUCGUCAUACACAUACAACAUUCUCGGAAGACCAGGUUCGUUUCCAAUUCAAAUUUUGUAUUUAAAGAUUCAACCCUACAUAUUUAGUUUACUAUAAUAUACUUAGCUAUAAUUUGUCGCGCUUGAGAUACGUAGAUGCCGGGUUGCCAGUUAUUAAUAUCUGUAGGAAAUCAUUUUAGGAUUGGAUAAAAGAUGGCGGUAAUGAUUUAUAAACUUUAAGGUCUUUAAGUUGGUAUGGUAAAAUGUCAGAUAUGAUGAUAAGGUAAAUUUGGAGUUUUUGAGGUUUCGAGGUGACGAAAUUCCGUCGACUCGGCCAUUUCGCAAACGAUUCGGCUGGUAUCCAGAAGUGUAGUGGCUCGCGUGUGAACUUUUUCCUUUAGUUCUUUGGACAAGUUCCUUUUCAUUUAACUUUUUCCUUCAAACCUAUUUAAGUUCUACGGUUUGCGAACCGUUCUUUUUCAUCGAGUCACCUUUCUGUGUGACCUUUCUUUACAUACCAAGAAGCGCUCGUUCAACGGGCGCUUGGUAUAGGCUGGUUUUUUCUCAUACCCGUUUCUGCGGAAACGAUCCCGACGGUGGAACUCUCCACGUGGUUUUGCGAAACCUAACCUCCAAUUCGGAACCGAUCCUGCAACCGGGCACCCCUCGUGUCCCCUGCUCCACUCGUGCGUGCUGCUAAGGCCCGCCUUUCGAGGCAGUCAAACGGAGGUCGAGGUAAUUCGCUAAAGUUAUCGUUUGCGAGAUACCCAUCGGUCGCCAAUUGCCGAUUGGAAGUUAGGAUCCCAACCCGCUACAACCCCCCUCGUGGAUCCGCCGAGAGCGUACGCCGACAAAUGCGUACAAUAAAGUGUCUGGAUUCGUUUGAGUUUUAACUUAAAGCCUCCAAUGGUGGGGUGUUCGUUUGCUCUUACUUGACGACGACACUGUCCGGACCUGCGCCGACCUCGUGUCGAACGCGCCGCGCGGCACUCCGUGCCGAACGCGCCGAGCUUAGCUCGUGUAAAGCUCUCGAGUAACAACCCGAAGAAAUCGGAAGUCUUCCGUCCAGCCGAGCCUCCCUCCGCAACUUUAAGUACGGCCAUACGCGCACGAGCACACCGGCUGUCGCCCAAGUUCAGCCCUGGAGUCCCGCUCCACCUUAACAAACUCAUCGCGCCGAGGAUAAACAUCGCGGCGAAUCGAAGAACCCCUCGCCGAAGCUGCCAGCAUUACCAGGACGCAGCCAUCGCCGCCGCCGUCACCGCUGCUGUGGUUGCCGCGGUCACCACCACCAACGUACGCAACGCAUCAUAAACCCUGCGCAGGUAUGCUAGUAUUAGUCAUGGCCAUGUACAAUACGAGUUUUCCCCCUAUGCCACCCCGCUUAACCGAACGAGACUUUUCUUUAGCAUAAUGUAAAUACACUGUGAAAUGAAUUCACCCAUUCCUCUUUGGUAUUAAAGAUAAAUUAAAUUUCCCAUUGAAAUGCCUUGAAUAAAUCACCGUUUUUCCUUACGUUUUACCUAGUUCUCUUUUUAUUACCUUAUUUACCUUUUCCGUUAAUUUCCGUUCCAAAAAGCCAACUGUUCGAAAGCCACUUUAUUCGAAAAGUUUAGUUAUUUAGAUACAUUUACCAAACCAACUUUCUGACACGUUAAAGCCAUUUGUAUUAAGCACCAAGUUUCGACUCCGACCAUCGACCCUGAGAGCAAAGUCGGGCAAAAUCACAACACGACGGGUGGUCUCUUGUUAACAGCAAGAGUGGCGCAUAAGCCACUGCGUUUAAUCAAACAAAACUUUCAUCGUACGUUUAGGUCGGUUACAUUGGCGCCCAACGCAAAA